AGUUUAGAUUGUGCAGUCCAACCCUAGACACAGGGACAGGAACUGCAUUAGGGAUAAAAACCACUUCUCUCCUUUGUUCAGUGUGCUCUUGCAAUCGUAACUGAUGCAGGCAGCACCCUUCUGCAGAAGCAAAUUGCCUUGCUGAGAAAAAUUUUGCGGAAGGGUCUCAGAUCACCUCUUGUGGGGAGAUACAUCCAGCUGCCUCAUUGUGGUGGUCUCAGGGGUAAGGAAUCGAGACCCAACCAGCGUGACAAAUAAACAUGGAUCCUCAGCAACAUGGGAAGAAAAGGCCUACAGAUACCGGGGUGACCAGGUAACUCUAUGCACAGACCAAGAGGCCCAUAAGUGGGUAAAUGUUCCUAAGGACAAAGAUAUCUAUAAAUCUGCAGAGUGUACAUCUGUAAGAAUAGAAGACUGAUUCCUCGCUCACAUCCUCACUGAUCUAAUAACUACUCUGGCUUCCAAGAUGCUUCAAAAACUAAACUCAGCAAAAAGUGCAGACCAAAUAUGUGGCAGAAGUUGAACUGAGCUCGUUAAGUUUCAUAUUAUGUAUAUCCUUUAAUAUAGCCUUUUAAUGCCAA
rnacentral:lncRNA from 1 species